UUUAAAUUUGACUUCUUCAAUCUUCAGUCUUCACCGUUCUUCUUAACAUUUAUCUUCUAAACCCCGUUUUAGACGAUAACGUUAGUAUUUUCUUUAUAAACAAUGACGGUUUUCGGAUAAGUAAAAAAAAAAACAACAAAUUCAAAAAAGUAAUCAGACCUAAAAACCUAGGAGUGAGUGGUUUUAUUAUUAAUGCUAAAAUAGUCUAUUACUAUUACAGUAAUGAACCAAAAAAUAGUAACAGAAUACGGUGCUUUAGAUGUGCUGGUGACCACCACAUAAGAAAUUGUAAAAAGAAAAACAAAAUGAGUAGUAAAAAGGUGCCAUUUCUGAAAAUCGCCUAAUCAUUUGUACAGGGACUGUCCUAUGAGAAAACGGCAAAACAAAAAGAAAAAAACAAAUUCAAAAAAGUAGUCAAACCUAAAGAACAUCUAGGGACGCGUGAUGACGGUCACCACCACAUUAUAAGUGCAGUAAGUAUUGUGCAUUGCUCGGAAUCAGUCGAUGGCUGAGAUAAUCAUUGUUUGCAGUCAGGUGUUGUAGGCUGCCUGAAGUGCAAUAACCGUUCGCCAUCAAACUUAUUGUGAUGACCAUUACUAAAUACUGUUUACGUUUAUACUCGCACAUCAAAGAGCAGUUUUCCCUGUGGAUGGAGAACAACGUUAAUUUUUGGAGCACUAAGGUUUUUGCCACACCAUGGAGGCGAAUGUGAUAAACGUAUUGUGAUAGAUGCAAGAUUGCAUGAGACCAAAGUCGCCUGAAGAUUGUUAAACAUAGGUGAUAACUAUUUUACUGGCAAGAAUGAUCAAAGUAAUGCCAACUGCAACUGCCAACGUUUUGUCAUCAUCUCGCACAGUAUAACUUAGUUGGAUGGAAUGAACCAAUAACUAAUAGAUGUUUGGAAAGUCUGUCCUGAGUUUUUUACUUUUAAAAAUUAUAUUUUUAUAAUCACUACGAUAUCCACUGAAACCUUUGUAAUGAGACAAUUGUAAUUAAAGGCUGAUUGAGCCGUCAAGAGCAAAAGUGGUGUAAGUCACGUUUUCACCUAAUCUAAAGUAACGCCACCAAGCGAUAAUUCUGCUCUCAAUCUAUCGCCUGCGAAAGUGAUUUUAGUCGUGCUUUGCUUAUUAUCCGCACGAUGGAAAGAGAACUUUAAGUUCUCGUAAAAACAUUUAUACAGAUCUUCUACUUUAAUAUUUUGUGACUUACACCCUUUUUGCUCUCGAAUGCGCAAUUUUAUUUUUGUGUAAUGCAUUUAUCAAGCUUUGUGUGCUCAUUGCGCCAUGAGUUCUAUAAUCAUAAAAAAAUUAAUAUCAACUAUUUCAUUUGUAAAUAAUUUCCA